rnacentral:rRNA from 1 species
GACGUAGGGCGCGAGCGUUGUCCGGAUUUAUUGGGCGUAAAGAGCUCGUAGGCGGUUUGUCGCGUCUGCCGUGAAAGUCCGGGGGCCCAACUCCGGAUCUGCGGUGGGUACGGGCAGACUAGAGUGAUGUAGGGGAGACUGGAAUUCCUGGUGUAGCGGUGAAAUGCGCAGAUAUCAGGAGGAACACCGAUGGCGAAGGCAGGUCUCUGGGCCGCAACUGACGCUGAGGAGCGAAAGCAUGGGGAGCGAACAGG